AUUGAACGCUGGCGGCAUGCUUUACACAUGCAAGUCGAACGGCAGCACGGGUGCUUGCACCUGGUGGCGAGUGGCGAACGGGUGAGUAAUGCGUCGGAACGUACCGAGUAGUGGGGGAUAACGCAGCGAAAGUUGUGCUAAUACCGCAUAUUCUGUGAGCAGGAAAGCGGGGGAUCUUCGGACCUCGCGCUAUUCGAGCGGCCGACGUCUGAUUAGCUAGUUGGUGGGGUAAAGGCCUACCAAGGCGACGAUCAGUAGCGGGUCUGAGAGGAUGAUCCGCCACACUGGGACUGAGACACGGCCCAGACUCCUACGGGAGGCAGCAGUGGGGAAUUUUGGACAAUGGGCGAAAGCCUGAUCCAGCCAUGCCGCGUGUCUGAAGAAGGCCUUCGGGUUGUAAAGGACCUUUGUCAGGGAGGAAAUCCUGCUGGUUAAUACCUGGCGGGGAUGACAGUACCUGAAGAAUAAGCACCGGCUAACUACGUGCCAGCCGCCGCCGUAA
rnacentral:rRNA from 1 species